UACAGAGGUCUCAAGCGUUGUUCGGAUUCAUUGGGCGUAAAGGGUGCGUAGGUGGCGCCGUAAGUCAGGUGUGAAAUUUCGGAGCUUAACUCCGAAACUGCAUUUGAUACUGCGGUGCUUUGAGGACUGGAGAGGAGACUGGAAUUUACGGUGUAGCAGUGAAAUGCGUAGAGAUCGUAAGGAAGACCAGUGGCGAAGGCGGGUCUCUGGACAGUUCCUGACACUGAGGCACGAAGGCCAGGGGGAGCAAAACGGGG
rnacentral:rRNA from 1 species